rnacentral:rRNA from 1 species
AACGAACGCUGGCGGCGCGCCUAAUACAUGCAAGUCGAGCGAGAAGACGUAGCAAUACGUUUGUAAAGCGGCGAACGGGUGAGGAAUACAUGGGUAACCUACCCUCGAGUGGGGAAUAACCAGCCGAAAGGUUAGCUAAUACCGCGUACGCUCCUUGGACUUCGGUUCAGGGAGGAAAGCGAUACCGUGGGUAUCGCGCUCUUGGAUGGGCUCAUGUCCUAUCAGCUUGUUGGUGAGGUAACGGCUCACCAAGGCUUCGACGGGUAGCUGGUCUGAGAGGACGAUCAGCCACACUGGCACUGCGACACGGGCCAGACUCCUACGGGAGGCAGCAGUAAGGAAUAUUGCGCAAUGGGCGAAAGCCUGAC